GUGUCGUGACGAUAGCACUGAGGUCACACCUGUUCCCAUCCCGAACACAGAAGUUAAGCUCAGUCACGCCGAAAGUAGUUGGAGGAUCGCCUCCUGCGAGGAUAGGAAGUCGCGACGCA
rnacentral:rRNA from 1 species